rnacentral:lncRNA from 1 species
GGCGCGCGCUCGGCCAACUCGGCCCCGCUAGACUUCCGGGAAAGAGGAGGCUUUUCUUCUCCAAAAUUCUCCAGGCUGCUGUGGUGCGCUUUUGUUUUACGGUGGAACACUACCGUUAAAAAACGUAGCCGUGAAACUGAGACUAAAACCUGCCGCCUACUUCCUGGAGGCUUUUGUUGGGUCUUGAAACUAGGAAUCUUUGCGGGUCAUCCUUGUCCCUUGAGCAACAUGUCCUCAAUAUGAGCUGAAUUCUGAACAUUUAGCUGAUAAAUGUUAACAUUUUUGGUUGCAUAAUGAAAAACAAAAUAAAACAGAAGAAGAAAGAAAGGAAGAUGAAAAUACAAUAUAAUGUCACGGUCAGUUUCAGCCAUUUCCUGUGACAAUUGUGGUGCUGUACAGUCAUUUCUGAAUUGUGUCUUGUCUCUUCUUUUCACAUAAAAACUGAGAGAGGAGCUAAAAAUGCCCCGAGAAGCUCCCAGAGGACCAAGGCCGACCGGCAGAGCAGAAUCUGGGCCAAUCUCAGCAGUUGUGUUUUUUUUUUUCUCAGCCUACUUACCUCAGGAGAGCAGUUUUUCUCUUUCUGAGGACUCGUCCACACGCAGCACAGCCACGCAGAGAGGAGCAUGGCGCUCCGGCUCUGCCCCGUGGUCUCCAGGCCACUGCCCGGCUGGCACUGGGCCUGCAGCAAGCACGCGUGCUCCAGCCACCCUGCGGAAGCACCUUGGCCUCGGAAGAGACCAGAACUCCCCUCCAGCACCAGGCAGGGCUGGGGAGGAAACACCCCACGUCCGCCUGCAAGGCUGAGUCCUGGACGCCCAGUGCCGCCAGGUGGCCCACUGUUUCAGGGCAAAGCUGCACACCCGUCAGGCGGGCACCUACUUUCGAAAAGGGUGAAGGCUUUGGGCGCUCACAACGCUCUGCUUCUCCGAUAUCGCCUCCCACUUUCCUUUGGGGAAAACUCACGGGGGCUGGACAUGGCCAGGACCCCACUGCUGGAGACCAGUGAAACUGCCGACCGAAGCAAUAAACAAACUCAGCGCAUGUGCAAAAGCACAGCCACCGAGAGAGUUUUAUCAUUACCUGCACCUGAUUUUGCUCACGAACCUACGUCACCUUCCCUGAUAAAAGGCAUGUGGGCUAAAGCCUGGGCGCCUUGGUUCUGCGGAACGGAGGGCCUCCUGGUCCCCCACUUUCUAGAUGCGAAAGAGUCUUGUGUGUUUUAUUAUGCUGCGUGGUCCCUCUUCCAGGAUCUCCUGUUGCCCUGCAACGCCGGACGUGGCACCCCACCUCUGUCCUGACUGUGUGGACGGAGCAAGGGGUCUGUUUUAAUUUCCUUUGAGGCUUCCUUCUUUCUUUCUUUAUUUUUUUUAAGGCCUUACCUGCGGCAUACAGAGGCUCCCAGGCUAGGGGUCCAAUCAGAGCUGUAGCUGCCAGCCAAUGCCACAACAACACAAGAUCCUUGCUGAGUCUUCGACCUACACCACAGCUGUCGGCAAUGCCGGAUCCUUAAGCCACUGAGCAAGGGCAGGGAUUGAACCCGCAUCCUCUUGGAUACUAAGGGGAUUCUUAACCCGUCGAGCCACAAGGGGACACCGAGCCUUCCUUCUUUAAAGACAAGCUUCCCAUGGUGUUUUCUCAAUAAUACUUCUGUUUGCAAGUUUGGGAGUGUGGCCAGAGAAGACUGUGAGUCUUGUAACUAGCAGAAAACUCAGGAGAAAAAUAUUUUAAGGAGAUGAUGGAAAAAGACCGAACAAAUCCUGAAGAAAGGCCAAGCACCAAGACGACGAUGGGCUGGGUUGGCUUCCUGGUUCCCUGCUCCUCAGCUCUGCUCAGAGGGUCCCAGGCCUCUGUGCCUGGUGCCGCAGAGGUCAUCCCUGGUGCUGGCCGCCCCCAGACCAUCUGGGGGAGCAGCAGCAAGUGUUUAAGGGCACGCGUUCUUUCCUCUCCGCCGCCCUCCAUCCUCCGGUGUGCAGCCCUAAGAGGAUAAAAGCCACCCUCUGGCCGGGCCAGUUGGCCUACAUCAGCGCGGUUCUGCCCGGCUGCUCCCGGCGCGGGGAGGCCGGGCCGCAGUGGCAGCAGCUGGCCCGCUUCCCGGCGGCUCCUCCGGCCGCAGCUGUCCGUGCUAUUUGCAGCUCUCCACAUCCUGAGAGCCGAGAGCAGGCCUCUCCUUGGGCUGUGUGAGUAAGACACAGGCAGACAGUGCGCCGGAGUAACUGGUCAACGGGAGGCCAGGCAGGGCCUUCCUGCAUCGCGGCGAGGCCGGGAAGUUGGGAAACGGUGACCUGCAGGGGCCUGAGGAGGAGCUGCCGGGGCCGCCCCCGCUCGCCAGCGCCCCUAAAAGAGGGGGAGCAGGCAGAGAGCAGGAACUUCUGGUGCACGUCCCCGGUCUUUCCAGACUGUCCCCCACGGCGCCCGCCCCCAUCGCUCACCCUUGACCCCAUUCCCCGAGCAGCGGGCGCGAUCAUCUCAUGUAUUUGUUUGGUUGUGCAGCGGCUGCCUCUUCCCUGAACAGUAAGCGCCUGGAGGCCCCUGGGGUGAUGUUUCCCGCGGAACCUCCGGGGCCAAGCAGGCUGCCUGGCGCCUUUGCAAGUGAAUACCGGCCGGCUCACUCCUCUGGCGGGAGCUGAUCUCUCCACUUGCCUUCUGAGGAGGUGUCUCAACCUGGGGAGAUAAACUGGACUUCUUGGGCGCGGAAGGAAACGCCUUCUCCCUGGUUUCAUGUAUCUUCCAACCCACCGUGUGGGAUCAGCUAAAUAGGAGUGGUCUUUAUGUGAUCUAUACCACUUGUCACUCUUUAAUGUAAUCUUAUGUCAUUUAAAGGUUAAAUUAUAGGGUAACUAAAAAGCGA